rnacentral:ncRNA from 1 species
GUCUCAGGGCGGGGUGAAAUUCCCCACCGGUGGUUAUAGUCCACGAGCGCGAAGCGGUGCUUCGGUCAGCAGAAGCGGUGAAAUUCCGCUACCGACGGUUAAAGUCCGGAAGAAAGAGC